UAAAAUGAAAACAGUUUUGGAGCCUGGGAAGUCCAGUAUCAAGAUGCCUGCAUUUGGUGAGGAUCUUCAUGCUGAUUAUUCCAUGUUGAAAAGCAGAAUGGCAAGAGAGUGCAAGAGCAAGCAGGAAGAUAUCUGAACUCACCUUUUUAUUAGGAACUCACUCCCAUGUUUAAAAGGGUCAUAAAGCAGCGGAGACAACUCACAACAUCAACAGUGCAUUUGGCACAGGAGCUGCUAACUUACAGUGCAGUGGUUGUUCAAGAAGUUUGGCAGUAGAGAGGAGAGCCUCGAAGAUGAAGAGCAUAGUGCUCUGCCAUCAG
rnacentral:lncRNA from 1 species